GAGUUUCUGCUCUUCGCGUGCGGGCCAUUUUUUCCACUGGCCUAUAAUUUCUCGAUGGGAGCUGGCUCUGUCAUGGCCCUGGUCAUGUUACCCGGCGCCCACCUGGUUCUCCAGGCUUUCGGGAAAACCUGUGCGCCCACGGUCGCAGCGGUUCUCGC
rnacentral:other from 1 species